CAGCCGCCGCGGUAAUACGUAAGGACCGAGCGUUGUCCGGAAUCAUUGGGCGUAAAGGGUACGUAGGCGGUUAUCUAAGUUAGAAGUGAAAGGCUAUAGCUCACCUAUAGUAAGCUUUUAAAACUGGAUAACUUGAGAGAUGGAAGGGAAAGUGGAACUCCUAGUGUAGCGGUGAAAUGCGCAGAUAUUAGGAGGAAUACCGGUGGCGAAGGCGACUUUCUGGCCAUUUUCUGACGCUGAGGUACGAAAGCGUGGGUAGCAAACAGGAUUAGAUACCCCCGUAGUCCCUGUCUCUUAUACA
rnacentral:rRNA from 1 species